rnacentral:rRNA from 1 species
GACGAACGCUGGCGGCGUGCUUAACACAUGCAAGUCGAACGGUAAGGCCCUUCGGGGUACACGAGUGGCGAACGGGUGAGUAACACGUGGGUGAUCUGCCCUGCACUUCGGGAUAAGCCUGGGAAACUGGGUCUAAUACCGGAUAGGACCACUGCCUGCAUGGGUGGUGGUGGAAAGCUUUUGCGGUGUGGGAUGGGCCCGCGGCCUAUCAGCUUGUUGGUGGGGUGAUGGCCUACCAAGGCGACGACGGGUAGCCGGCCUGAGAGGGUGACCGGCCACACUGGGACGGAGAUACGGCCCAGACUCCGACGGGAGGCAGCAGGGGGGAAUAUUGCACAAUGGGCGCAAGCCUGAUGCAGCGACGCCGCGUGAGGGAUGACGGCCUUCGGGUUGUAAACCUCUUUCAGCACCGACGAAGCGCAAGUGACGGUAGGUGCAGAAGAAGGACCGGCCAACUACGUGCCAGCCGCCGCCGUAA